rnacentral:tRNA from 1 species
UCUAUUAUGGCAGAUAAGUGCUCUAGAUUUAAGCUCUAGCUAUAAGAGUGAAAGUCUCUUUAUUAGAA